CCUACGGGUGGCUGCAGUGGGGAAUAUUGGACAAUGGGGGGAACCCUGAUCCAGCCAUGCCGCGUGUGUGAAGAAGGCCCUCGGGUUGUAAAGCACUUUCAGUGAGGAAGAACGCCUGGUGGUUAAUACCCAUCAGGAAAGACAUCACUCACAGAAGAAGCACCGGCUAACUCCGUGCCAGCAGCCGCGGUAAUACGGAGGGGGCGAGCGUUAAUCGGAAUUACUGGGCGUAAAGCGCGCGUAGGUGGCUUGAUAAGCCGGUUGUGAAAGCCCCGGGCUCAACCUGGGAACGGCAUCCGGAACUGUCAAGCUAGAGUGCAGGAGAGGAAGGUAGAAUUCCCGGUGUAGCGGUGAAAUGCGUAGAGAUCGGGAGGAAUACCAGUGGCGAAGGCGGCCUUCUGGACUGACACUGACACUGAGGUGCGAAAGCGUGGGUAGCAAACAGGAUUAGAUACCCGAGUAGUC
rnacentral:rRNA from 1 species